rnacentral:lncRNA from 1 species
GGACAAAAUUAAAAGUUCUUUCUGGGUUUUACUUGGAAAUUAAAAUUUUGGAUCUCCUUAGUUCAAAAUACAAGGUAGUAUUUUGAUUAAAAAAAAGAAGUUAUUAGUGAAUUCAAAAAAAUAAAAAAAUAAAAUUGGUGGUUUGAAUCAGAGUGCGCAGCGAAAGCAUAGUGGUCUAAACUAUUUUUCUAAGUUGGUCAGAAGUAUUAUCCCUUUAAUUUGGCAAGUUUUAAUAACAAAAGACUUGAUUUGAUUUGAAUUUUUAGAUGUCGCUGCACUAUCUUAGGUUCUCUAAUUUUAUGUCAUGCUAAGGAAAUGCUUAACAUCUUGAGACUAGAAUUAAUAGAUCAUCGAUUAUGAUCUUGGACCUAGAAUAUUUUGGUGUAUACCUCUUUCCUCCUAAAUCCGAAGUUUGUACUUCUUCAAUUAAUAUCAACCCUCUAUUUGAUUGAAAGAGAUUGAGGUUAUCUAUCGAUCUUGAUAAAUAUUCUACUAAGGGUGGAUUAGAGUUGUUUAUGACCUAAUCUUGUGAUAGAUCGAUUAAUCAAGAGUAAUUGAUAUUUUGACAAAAAAAAAAAUUUGAUGUUCUUAUUCAAAAUUAAGACAUUGAUUUUUAUUUAUGAGAGAGAAGUUUGAUUUACAUCAUCUAUAAAAAGAACCAAAUUUGGAGGUAUUGGACUUUAUUCUUAUGAUAAGCUGAAAUUGUAUUGAUAAGUAGAAUUAUUGGAAGACUUGAGUUAGCCUUCUAGUAGAGAAGAAUGUUGUUGAUUCUAUGAAUAAUCUGGAGGUAGCUAUGUAAUUUUCACCAAUGGGUUUUCUAUUGUUGACAGUUCUUGGGAGAAUUUUGGGCAUCCUAAAUUUAGUGUUAACAGAUUGAUGGUUCCUUAUUGGGUUUAGACCUGGAAUGCUUUAACAUUGGUUCCCUACUCCUAGUUAUGACAUCGUCAAUCUAUCUGUUCGAAAGGGUUUGAGUUUUUUUUUCUAGGAUAAAGGUUGAUCAGUAAAUCAUGGGCAAAGUUAAGAGAAGAAAAAGGAUUACAGAUUAUGAAAAGUAUUUGAUGCUAAUGCUUUAACCUAUUUGUAUUAAGCCGAUUAUGAUUUUUGUGUGGAAUUAAUCAUGAACAAUUAAUUUCUUGGGCAAAGAAUUAUGGAAUUUAAAAUCCAAGGCUGGAAGGUUAGUUUAUUUUGAAAGAGAUCAAAAGAACUUGCUAUGAAUCAUAGAUGGAAAGGAUUAAGUUUUGAGAUGCUAUAAUUUUGCCAAAAUCUUGUGAGCCUGCAUUUCGAGAUGGGGAUUN